GAUAAAAAAUAUACGCAUAACGAUUUGGGGAAUGUUUAAAACUUAGAAGUGUUUUCCACUGGUUAAAUAACAGUCGCAGUUGAAACUUGAGAUUUAAAUGAAAUAAAAAUUAUAUAAAAAUAAAAGAAAAAGUAUUUAACAAUUAUAAAACAGAGCCGUAAAUGGGAACACAAGAGAAAAGAGAAGAAGCACUUUCUUAAAUUGGUUGGCUCUUGUUUACCAGUUCCAUUUCACAUUGUGAUAAACUGACGACCUUUCAACGUUUGUUUCUUGAAAAGAAGCGAUAAUAAAUAUGAAACAAUACAUUUCCUUGAUUCUUUUGCUGUGUGGGGCAAUUCUCAUUGCUACAGUAACUUGUGUGGAGACAUCACUCUGCUAUGAUAGCUUGACUAGUUGUAAUGCUGCCUGUGGAGGAAGUGAUGAGCAGUGUAACGAGUACUCGUGUGCUACUUGGACUGCCAGCUGUAUUGUAUGCAACUGUGCCCUACCAAAUUUUCAACCAUAAUACACCAGCACCAAUGGAAUCUCCUUAUGGUUUAUUCCCAAUAAAGACCGCUCUAAUUGAAGGACUUGGAUUAAAGAUAUUUUUAAUGUUUUAUUUUUCAAUGUCAUCAUGAUGUACAAAAAUAUGUGCAAAUUUUUCCCAGUGAGAAAAAAAAAUUUAAGAGAGUAUACUGAAUUUUUUUAUCAACUUAAUUUUUGCUGAUUAAACAAGUUAUCAAUUUGCCAA
rnacentral:lncRNA from 1 species